rnacentral:rRNA from 1 species
CCCGCUGAACUUAAGCAUAUCAAUAAGCGGAGGAAAAGAAACUAACAAGGAUUCCCCUAGUAACUGCGAGUGAAGCGGGAAGAGCUCAAAUUUAAAAUCUGGCGUGCCUCUGGUCGUCCGAGUUGUAGUCUGGAGAAGCGUUUUCCGUGUUGGACCGUGUACAAGUCUCUUGGAACAGGGCGUCAUAGAGGGUGAGAAUCCCGUCUUUGACACGGACUACCAAUGCUUUGUGAUGCGCUCUCAAAGAGUCGAGUUGUUUGGGAAUGCAGCUCAAAAUGGGUGGUAAAUUCCAUCUAAAGCUAAAUAUAGGCGAGAGACCGAUAGCGAACAAGUACCGUGAGGGAAAGAUGAAAAGCACUUUGGAAAGAGAGUUAAACAGUACGUGAAAUUGCUGAAAGGGAAACGCUUGAAGUCAGUCACGUCUGCCAGGACUCAGCCUUGCUUCUGCUUGGUGUACUUUCUGGUUUGACGGGCCAACAUCAAUUUUGACCGUUGGAGAAAGGCUUUGGGAAUGUGGCACCCUCGGGUGUGUUAUAGCCCUUUGUCGUAUACAACGGUUGGGAUUGAGGACCGCAGCACGCCUUCAUGGCCGGGGUUCGCCCACGUACGUGCUUAGGAUGUUGGCAUAAUGGCUUUAAGCGACCCGUCUUGAAACACGG